rnacentral:rRNA from 1 species
UACGGAGGGUGCAAGCGUUAAUCGGAAUUACUGGGCGUAAAGCGCACGCAGGUGGCUGAGAAAGUCGAUUGUGAAAGCCCUGGGCUUAACCUGGGAAUUGCAGUCGAAACUACUCGGCUAGAGUAUGGGAGAGGACAGUGGAAUUCCCGGUGUAGCGGUGAAAUGCGUAGAUAUCGGGAGGAACAUCAGUGGCGAAGGCGGCAUCCUGGACCGGCAUUGACGCUGAUGAGCGAAAGCUAGGGGAGCAAACGGG